GGCCUCUUGGGAGGAGAAACAGGCCAUCCCUUCUGCAGCGGCUCCUGUCGGCUCCCUGGCUGCCUGGGUGGAGACAGCUGAGCCUCUGCCCCGACAGGCUUCAACAAUCCGGGGCAAUAAUAAGAAAAUAUCCAGGGCACACCUUCGUCUCUCGAGGUGAGAAAUGACCGUCUCCAUCAAUCGUCGCUUUUCCUGG
rnacentral:lncRNA from 1 species